GUCUGGGGAAGUUAUUUCUUCUUCAUGUUUGAAGUUUUCUCAAGAGGGAUUUGCAGAGACAGGAUGCUAUGAAAUUACCUCUCCCAUGCCCUCCACAGUACUAAGACUGAGGUACCUGUCUACAUCAAAAGAUGAGUACUACAAUGCAGAUGACUUAGCCAGUUGGCUGACUAGGGAUGUUGGAUGCCAGGUCUCCUCAGAAAGAUCAAAGUUACAGGUGAAUGCCCAUGAUUUAAAUGGAAAUCUGAGGGAAUGAAGCAAGGACCUGUUGGAGCACCCAUGGGAAGAACCUGGGGCACAAAAGAGGAAAGCAGCAAGAGACUGACAGAGAUUGUCUCCCUAGAAACCUGGACCACGAAAAGGGUGGAGAGGAGAAAACUCUGUGCUAAAUAUUACUCCUGGAAAAGUGCAUUUGCUUCGGAGAAAUCUUUAUCAUGGGUCUCUAAGAGGAAGGAACAAUAGCAUCUUCUAUGUGCCGAGGUAGCGCAAUAAUGAACUCUGUUCAAGUGGAUCAAAAGCCAUCAAGGUCAAAAUUAGGCACAGGCUGUACAGGAAGCGUGAUUCUGGCAUCUGUUUGGUUUCUGGGAAGGCCUCAGGAAACUUAAAGUCAUGGAAGAAGGGGAAGGGAGAGCAGGCACGUCUUACAUGACCAAAGCAGGAAGAAGAGAGAGAAGUGUGGAGGUGCUAUACACUUUUAAACAGCCAGAUCUUGUGAGAACUCUGUCAGAAGAACAGCACUAGGGAAAUGGUGCUAAACCAUUCUUGGGGACUCCAUCCCUGUGAUACAAUCACCUCCCACCAGGCCCCACCUCCAACACUGAGAAUUACAACUCAACAUGAGAUUUGGAUGGGGACACAGAUCCAAACCAUAUCAAAUUUUCACACCUUUCAGUAAAGCUUUAUAUUUUUUAAGGAUAUUUAAGUACUUGGAAGUAGAAGUAGAGAGUAAGGGGAAUAUUGUACAGCCAUCACAGCCUUUGUCUACUAAAGAAGUCAGUUUCAUGUGACAAAUGUUCAUUUUAAUAUUCGCUUCUUCAGUCCAUCUGGGGGUGUUUCCUUAUUUCUAUAAGAUGCUGCUUUUCAAAAAAAUUACCGAAAGCAUUCUGGAAAUCCAAGAGUAAUUGUGUGAACUAUAAGCAUUAGAAAACACAGACAUAAGUUGAAAAUAUUUAUGAACCUAAAUAGAUGUAAAGCUAGUGACUCAUAUUUUAUAAUGUAUUCACAGAUGAUAUUUCUUAAAUAAAGUAGGCAUUUCUUUAAAAUAAAAACUCUAAUAAUAUAUGUUAUUAAGAAGAAAACUAGAAAAGGAAGAAAAAAAGUGAUGGUAUGUUUGGAAGAUGCUGAGGUGAGCUGGUGAUAAAAUUAUCUCCACUGAAAAAGGAAUACAAAGAGCAGACACUGAAUAAGCCAGACAAUGUUUGAGUUUUUUCUGAAACCACUGUGCAGUUUUGGACUUUGACCUGAUUUAAUUUUCACCUCUGUUCUUCCUCCCACUCCUUCUCUUCCUUCAUCUCAUCCUCCUCUGCCUUUUACCUCUUUUAAAAAUUGCAUUUUGCAAACAAAUACAUGUUUGCCAUCAAUGAAACUAUUUCAAGAGUUCUAUAGAGAUCAAAAUGAAGGGCUUCCUGCGUUGAUGGUUAAUUCUACCAUCUUCCCCAGGUGCAACAGCUGUUAGCAGUAUAGCCUUCAGUUACCAGUUUCAGGCAUUUACCUAUGCGUCUGAACAAAUGCAUUAAAAAAUAAUGAACACACAUGCAAACUGGUUUGUUUCCAUUUUACUUAGCUCUGUAAGGUGCCAUGUUUUACAUAUUCUGCAAAUUCUCCCCAUGUACAAUACACAUAAACCCAGUAUUAUUUUUAACAUCUCCAAUAUUUUGGUACACUUCAAUUUAUUUACCACUUGUUCCCAAUUCUUGGUGAUAUCAAUGUGUCAAGCUCUUUCAAAAGAACUUUGGUUUAUCAUCCGCCUUUCACCCUGACCAUUUAUAUGUUCAUUUUGCUUUGACAAGCAGGACUUGACUUCUUUCAGCUUCCUGACUCACUUGGAAUUGUAUCAACAGGUGACUGUUAUG
rnacentral:lncRNA from 1 species